GCCCGACGUGGGACUCAAUCCCGGGUCUCCAGGAUCGCGCUCUGGGACAAAGGCAGGCGCCAAACCUCUGCGCCACCCAGGGAUCCCCUCAAAUAGAAAUUUUAAAAGUGAAAAUGGAAUCACCAAAAUUCCGGACUUAAUUAAUGGGUUAAUAGAUUGUAUAUAGCAGGAAAAAGGAUUGGUUAAUGGUAAAUAAAUAGAUCAGUAGAAAAUAUCCAGUUGGACCUUGCAGAGAAAAGCAAAUGAUAAAUACACGAAAGAACCUAAAAGAUGAAUGGAACAUGGUGAAAAGAUAUAGUAUACAUCUAAUUAAAGUUUCAAUAAUGGAGGAGAGAUGGAAUGGAGAAAAAGCAGUAUUUGAAGAAGUAUUACCUAAAACCAAUGAAGACAUAAAGCCACAGAUUCAAUGAAAGCUUGCAUUUGAGCAGACAAUAAAAAAGAAUGCAAAUAAAAUAUUCACUGGAAAUAAGUUGCUAUGCAGAGAAUUAAAUGUAAUGUUAAUGCUGAGAUAGAAUUUGCCUGGGUGGCUAUUUUAAACUGGAUGGUUAAAAAUAUCAUCUCUGAAAAGUUAAUAUUUAAGCCAACAUCUGAAAAGCAGACAAGAAGAUAACCAUGUGAGGAUCAGGAGAAGAGAACUGCAGGCUCUUAUAUUCCCCUGUAAGGAGGAAAAGAGGUAACAAGUCAAGUCAGUUAGGGCUGAAUAAAGUUUGAAACAGAACAAUGUCUGUGUUCUCAAAGUACCUUGAGCACCAUGAUCUUCCCAGCUGGGCAGUUCCAAAGAUUAUCAGUUGAAGAACAAGACAUUUCCAAGGGAAACUCUACCACCGGUCAAGGCAACUCUUUACGAGAAAGCAAGCUGAAGCCAACAGCCAGCAAGGCACUGAGGCCUGCUCACUACUAUAUAAGUGAACCAAGAAGCAGAUUCUCCAGCCCCAGUUGAACGUUGAGAUGAGUGAAGCUCUGGCCUAUAGCUUGACUGGAACUUUGUAAGACACCUUGAGCCAGAACCACCCAGAAUCUGUGACUUCAUCCAACAUCUGGCUCAAAUCUGGGAAUUUGGCAUUAAUGAAGGUCAUUCUAGCUGCUGUGCAGAAUAAAUAUUGGAGGUGAACAUGAUGUCCAAGCACCUAGGUGCACCAUCUGGCAUACAACUUGAACACUCUGUAAUUGGUAUAUAGACACAGCUUAACAAGUCCUGCUGGAUAUAGGCUCUAUAUACAUUUUGUGCAUUUUGUGGAAUCUGUUCCAUUAUCUUUACUAAGCUAAUGUGUGAUUAAGAUUUAGGAAAUUUCUGUAAAGUUUUCCUUCUGGUUGUCUAACUUAAAGUACUAAAAAAGUGUCCUAUGUAUCAAAAGAUUUCUCAAGAGUCACCAAAGGAGUUGGCAGUGAAAACAUGAUUUGGGUUAUUCUGUCCACCAAGUAGCCAUUUCUCAGCCCCAGGAACCCAGAGUGCAAGGCAAUGCCCCACCUCUACCUUGGGCUUAGCUCUGCCAUUUGUACAACUUUGAUUCCAAGAUUCCUUCUUAGUUUA